rnacentral:rRNA from 1 species
CCUACGGGUGGCAGCAGUGAGGAAUAUUGGUCAAUGGGCGCGAGCCUGAACCAGCCACGCAGCGUGAAGGAUGACUGCCCUACGGGUUGUAAACUUUUUUUAUAAAGGAAUACAGUGAGGCACGUGUGCCUUUUUGUAUGUACUUUAUGAAUAAGGAUCGGCUAACUCCGUGCCAGCAGCCGCGGUAAUACGGAGGAUACGAGCGUUAUCCGGAUUUAUUGUGUUUAAAGGGAGCGUAGAUGGGUUGUUAAGUCAGUUGUGAAAGUUUGCGGCUCAACCGUGAAAUUGCAAUUGAUACUGGCAGUCUUGAGUGCAGAUGAGGUAGGCGGAAUUCGUGGUGUAGCGGUGAAAUGCGUAG